rnacentral:rRNA from 1 species
GCGGCGGCUAUACAUGCAAGUCGAACGAUACCAGAGAGCUUGCUUUCUGGGAAAGUGGCGCACGGGUGCGUAACGCGUAUGCAACCUACCUUUAUCAGGGGGAUAGCCUCUCGAAAGAGAGAUUAACACCGCAUAAAAUCAAAGAACGGCAUCGUUCAAUGAUCAAAUAUUUAUAGGAUAAAGAUGGGCAUGCGUGACAUUAGCUAGUUGGUGAGGUAACGGCUCACCAAGGCGACGAUGUCUAGGGGAUCUGAGAGGAUGACCCCCCACACUGGUACUGAGACACGGACCAGACUCCUACGGGAGGCAGCAGUAAGGAAUAUUGGUCAAUGGAGGCAACUCUGAACCAGCCAUGCCGCGUGCAGGAAGACGGCCCUAUGGGUUGUAAACUGCUUUUAUUCGGGAAUAAACCCUUUUACGUGUAAGAGGUUGAAUGUACCGAAAGAAUAAGGAUCGGCUAACUCCGUGCCAGGAGCCGCGGUAAUACGGAGGAUCCAAGCGUUAUCCGGAUUUCUUGGGCUUAAAGGGUGCGUAGGUGGAUUAUUAAGUCAGGGG